AGGAACGAUUUUGUAUUUUUCAUCAAUUGAUUCUAAAAAUGACAUCACAGACGGGUUGUUUGUUAUCACCGUAAAGGGGCCAUGUUUGUUAUUAUUACCAAAAAUUUAGAUUAGUGUAUUCUGUCGUCGUAUACUGAUUGCUCCAAAUUGGAUAUCGUUUGAAGUUAAGUUUAUUCAUAUUUUAAUUACUGUAAUCCGAAAUGUGCAAGUGUUUGGCAGGGAACGUAGCAUGCUGCUGCUUUAGUUGUGCGCUGAAUAUUUUAAUUUCAAUAUUAACCGCAUUUUUUGUGGUUUUCCUAAUCGGCGCCAUAUUGAUCUACUAUAUUUAUUACCAUGAGAACGAAGAUGGCACGGCAAAAAAAAUAAAAGAUGAGUUAAGGAACGGUUUGGAAAGUGGACUGGACAAAAUUAAAGGCACAUUAUCAAAUUAACAGAAUAAACUGGUAUUUAAUGUACUUUGUCCAGAUGUAAGUCACAGCUAAGGAAAUAGAUACUUAAAUAUAUAUUAUUAUAAGCCGAACAUGGAAAACACAUGUAUAGGAAUAAAUUGCAUUUAUGAUAUAAUAUAUAUGUCUACCAUAUGUUCCUUUUUUAAUACAAAUUUACAUAUUAUUGUUACAAUAAUAUUCAUAAAAUAUAACCAAUAUUUUUUUAUCCAAUAUAAUACUUUCAAUAAAAAACAAAGUAAACUAUUUUAUAUAUGUAUGAAUAUAAACGACAUUAAUGAAAAAAAAUUUUUGCAAAUAAAAACUUUGAAUUGAUAAAAU